ACAGACCAUGACUUGAUAACCAUAUUUCC
rnacentral:piRNA from 1 species